rnacentral:rRNA from 1 species
UACAGAGGUCUCAAGCGUUGUUCGGAUUCAUUGGGCGUAAAGGGCGCGUAGGCUGCGGGGCAAGUCGGGUGUGAAAUCUCAGAGCUCAACUCUGAAACUGCACUCGAUACUGCUUUGCUUGAGGACUGGAGAGGAGAUUGGAAUUCACGGUGUAGCAGUGAAAUGCGUAGAUAUCGGAAGGAACACCAGUGGCGAAAGCGGCUUCCUGGUCCAGCACCGACGUUCAGGCACGAAAGCGUGGGGAGCAAACAGG